rnacentral:lncRNA from 1 species
AUGAACAGUUGAUGAUAGUUUAUAUAUUGCCAUCCAAGAAUUAUGAGUUUGCGAAUAAGAGUCGCAAUAUAAUGAACAGAAAGUCUCGUGUAUUAAAUCAAUUGUGUUGCAUUACAAAAGAACACAUUCCAAAGAUUACAAGAUGUGAAACAAUCUAGUAGUAGCCCAAUUGUCAACCUUGCAAUCAACUACAAUGGUUGAAACGUUGACCUUAAAUAUGACAUUCUAAUUAUCUAAUAGUGGCCACAUUCUCGACGUUGCCAUCAACAUCUAACCCAAGCAUCAUCACUUCUUGGCAAUCUACAACAACAAAUAAAUAAGAUGAGUAACGUAUGGCAAAAAAAAAACUGGUUAACGCAAUAGAAAUUCAAAGAAGACCAAAUGGUUAACGCAAUCUACAACAACAUUCUCGACGUUGCCAUCAACAUCUAACCCAAGCAUCAUCACCAUGGUAGCUCUGUACAAAGAUUAUAUAUCAAAUGUUUGUAAACUGCAGAUUCAGCAUCUGGUUGGUAAUUUAGAAGACCAAAUAUAUGUAUACUGACAUCAAAUUUGAUUGGUUAACAAAUUGUAACCUGCAUGAGCCAAUAACACCCUUGGUGAACUGGGGAAACAAAAUUAAGUUCUGCUUACAAAACACACUGUAGACCGGCUGCCUGUCAUCAAUAAAUCAUUAUUCAUACGCUGGUAUCUAGCAAAAUUGUUUAUCUCAUUUUAAAUACUGUAUACUGAAUAUGAACUCUGAAUUAAUCUGAAAUCCUAAGGAAGUGAUAUUAGUAUGCUGAAAAUCUUAUUAAUAAAUAAAUAUAGCGAUAUUAGUAUGCUGAAAAUCUAUUUAACAAAUAAAUAUAUUUUUCAAGGGACAUGGUUCAAUAUUCACGUAAGUGAUUACUAUACUAAUAGGUAGGCUACUUUUUCAACAACGUACAGUUAGUGUUGUUUGAACCAAAAAAUUGCUUGCAAAAAAGAAUACUGUAACAGUUUAAAGUACAUUGCUAAAUGAGAUGGGCAAUGCAAAAACUAAACAUCCUUGGAUCAUGUCAUUUUUAUUUUCCUAGUACUGUACAUGCAGGUAACUUUUCCUCCUUGGCCAAACAGUUACCCGUGCAUAAUCAGUAGUUGUAACUAUACUUACUUAGAUCCAUCUGACUUCUCAGUACUGCAUCUUGCAUUAUAUUCGCUGCAUUAGUUCGGCCGAGUCGCUGCUGUCCAUAAAGGAGAUGCACCUAACCUCGCCUGUACAACCCAUCAAGGAGAGACAUUGUUCCUGCCCUGCACGUUUACAACUAAACCAAAUUUUAAACCCAAAAAUGAGCAUAGUCGAAGCCUGGAAUGGCAACCUGGUGGAUAAUAUUGGUGUAACUGAUGAUGCGGACACCAAAAUAGAUAGAAGUGGGGCGGCACAAGAAACAUAUAGAACCGACAGGAACGAGUUAAGAUGUGCAGAGAUGUGCAUGUCUGACUCAUUUCUUUCCUGCCAAAGUGUGUCAAACAAAUUAAUAAGAUUCAUAACACUGAUAAGGGGAUCUUUUUUUCUCCAUAAAGUAAUCAAAAUGUCAUUCGCCGUUAAUAGUGUUGACCCAUUGAUCCUUGAAGAUCCACUUUGAUGACAUGGUCACAAACUAGGAUAAGUUUGAGAUGAUAUGGCAGCUAAUUGAAUGAGUAUGAUGAUCAACUUCAACUGAAAAUAUUAGUAAUUAAGUAUUCACCUACAUACUAUAUAGUUGCAAGAAAAUCAAAGAAAUUAAAUGCAUCACAAAAACAGUUUGUCAGAAAAGGAGGAAGCAAAUAUUCUUCCUGUGAAUUAACACAGAUAACCACGGUUCCAUAUAUGUAAAUCAGUCAGAUAAGUAGCAACAACCUGCAGAUGGAGAACUAGAUAGGAAACAUGCCUAAAAUUGAACAUCUGGAAAGGAGAAGUGGGAGCUUGGGCCUGCCCUAUUCUACAACACUACAGCGGGAAAUCCAGCGAAGAUGUUGAAAUACUAAAAUGACUAAGAACUGAAAGAUCCAGCAGAGAAAUAUGGAUGCGUCGCCAUCGACGCCGGUGGAUCAGAUCGACGGAGGGCGGGAAUUGCGGCUGAGAAAGGUUGGACUGAGAAAACAAGAGGAUUGCAGAAGUACGUACAGUGAUGAUGUUCUGGUGGCGGAGGCAGAGGGAGACCACGAAGGCUGCGCUCGAACUAGGCGGCGAUGGCGGGAUCCAGCUCUAGCUGGCUCACC